rnacentral:rRNA from 1 species
GCGCAAUGGGCGAAAGCCUGACGCAACAACGCCGCGUGAGGGAUGAAGGCCCUCGGGUCGUAAACCUCUUUUGCAGGGGAAGCGACUGACGGUACCUUGCGAAUAAGCCACGGCUAACUACGUGCCGGCAGCCGCGGUAAUACGUAGGUGGCAAGCGUUGUCCGGAUUUACUGGGCGUAAAGCGCGCGCAGGCGGCGCGCCAAGUCUAGGGUGAAAUCUCCCGGCUCAACCGGGAUAGGUCUCUGGAUACUGGCGUGCUUGAGGGGAGCAGAGGAGAGCGGAAUUCCCGGUGUAGCGGUGAUAUGCGUAGAUAUCGGGAGGAACACCAGUGGCGAAGGCGGCUCUCUGGGCUCUACCUGACGCUGAGGCGCGAAAGCGUGGGGAGCGAACCGGAUUAGAUACCCGGGUAGUCCACGCUGUAAACGUUGGGCACUAGGUGUGGGAGGUAUUGACCCCUUCCGUGCCGUAGUUAACGCAGUAAGUGCCCCGCCUGGGGAGUACGGCCGCGAGGCUA